CUUUACACAUGCAAGUCGAACGGCAGCACGGGAGCUUGCUCCUGGUGGCGAGUGGCGAACGGGUGAGUAAUACAUAGGAACAUACCCAGUAAUGGGGGAUAACGCCGAGAAAUCGGUGCUAAUACCGCAUACGCCCUACGGGGGAAGGCGGGGGAUCUUCGGACCUCGCGUUAUUGGAUUGGCCUAUGUCUGAUUAGCUAGUUGGUGAGGUAAAGGCUCACCAAGGCGACGAUCAGUAGCUGGUCUGAGAGGAUGAUCAGCCACACUGGAACUGAGACACGGUCCAGACUCCUACGGGAGGCAGCAGUGGGGAAUUUUGGACAAUGGGCGAAAGCCUGAUCCAGCCAUUCCGCGUGAGUGAAGAAGGCCUUCGGGUUGUAAAGCUCUUUCGGCAGGAACGAAGUGGUUGCGGUUAAUAACCGCGACUUCUGACGGUACCUGAAGAAGAAGCACCGGCUAACUACGUGCCAGCAGCCGCGGUAAUACGUAGGGGUGCGAGCGUUAAUCGGAAUUACUGGGCGUAAAGCGUGCGCAGGCGGUUUUGUAAGUCAGAUGUGAAAGCCCCGGGCUUAACCUGGGAAUGGCGUUUGAA
rnacentral:rRNA from 1 species